AGCGAACGCUGGCGGCAGGCUUAACACAUGCAAGUCGAGCGCCCCGCAAGGGGAUCGGCAGACGGGAGAGUACCACGUGGGGACAUACCUUUUGGUUCGGAACAACUGAGGGAAACUUCAGCUAAUACCGGAUAAGCCCUUACGGGGAAAGAUUUAUCGCCGAAGGAUUGGCCCGCGUCUGAUUAGCUAGUUGGUGAGGUAACGGCUCACCAAGGCGACGAUCAGUAGCUGGUCUGAGAGGAUGAUCAGCCUCACUGGGACUGAGACACGGCCCAGACUCCUACGGGAGGCAGCAGUGGGGAAUAUUGGACAAUGGGGGCAACCCUGAUCCAGCCAUGACGCGUGAGUGAUGAAGGCCUUAGGGUUGUAAAGCUCUUUUGCCCGGGAAGAUAAUGACGGUACCGGGAGAAUAAGCCCCGGCUAACUUCGUG
rnacentral:rRNA from 1 species